AAUUAAAUUUGUACGCGAUAUUAGAGUCCUUGUUCGUCGAUCAUAAUUUAAGCGGUCGUGGUAACGUAGUCUUUUAUUUUUUUUUUUUUUUUUUUAUAUUUAUUGUUUCGAAUAUUCGUUUUCGGUAUUAGAGUCAGUGCCUCCCUCAAGAGGAUAAAGCCUCUCCUGGAACUCAAGAAUACAUAUCACAGCUUCAACUUCCUUGUCUUCUUUGGGAAUGCACCAAUGGUGGCUCAAAAGCCAAAAAUGUAAGUAACUUUGCAUAUCGUACUUCAAUUAUGUCUAUUCUGUAUAUUUUUCUAUAACGACUGACAAUUAAUAGACACAAUCCAAUUGAAAAUUUGUGAGUUUAGCAUUUUCUGAGGUUAUUCUUUCAUUGAAAUAAAAUAAGAGUUAAAGUCUUAAUACCGAAUUAUGGAACAAAUGACUAACAUAUUUAAAAAAUCAUUAGAUUCUUGAUUUUUAUAUUUUAGACUUUCAUAUUAGAGUUUUAGUUUUUAUACUUAUCAAAGUUUAUUAGAAUUUCAAUCUUUAUUACUACUAAUAUUACUAAAGUUAAUAAACCUUCAUUUUUCAUUAUCUUCAACUUUUUAAAUAAUCAGCAAUCACUCAUCGUG
rnacentral:misc_RNA from 1 species